rnacentral:misc_RNA from 1 species
ACGGAAGAAGGGGACUAUCAGGUCAAGCUACGCAACCUGACUCGUUUCCUUGAAGAUGGGGACAAGGCCAAGGUAUCGCUACGAUUCCGCGGUCGUGAGAUGGCCCACCAGGAGCUGGGUAUGGAGCUGCUCAAGCGGGUUGAAAAAGACCUCGCUGAGAUCGGCACCGUCGAACAGCAUCCUAAGAUGGAAGGACGCCAGUUAAUGAUGGUCAUCGCCCCCAAAAAGAAGAAGUAAUACCCAGGGCACUGCCAGGCCUUGCUAUUACAGUGUUUUACCCAAUGCGGAGUUACGAACAUGGCAAAGAUGAAAACCAAAAGUGGCGCA